rnacentral:rRNA from 1 species
GUAGUCCACGCCCUAAACGAUGUCUACUAGUUGUUGGGGGAAAUUAGUCCCUUAGUAACGAAGCUAACGCGUGAAGUAGACCGCCUGGGGAGUACGGUCGCAAGAUUAAAACUCAAAGGAAUUGACGGGGACCCGCACAAGCGGUGGAUUAUGUGGAUUAAUUCGAUGCAACGCGAAAAACCUUACCUACCCUUGACAUGUCUGGAAUCCCGUAGAGAUAUGGGAGUGCCCGAAAGGGAAUCAGAACACAGGUGCUGCAUGGCUGUCGUCAGCUCGUGUCGUGAGAUGUUGGGUUAAGUCCCGCAACGAGCGCAACCCUUGUCAUUAGUUGCUACGCAAGAGCACUCUAAUGAGACUGCCGGUGACAAACCGGA